UACAGAGGGGGCAAGCGUUGUUCGGAAUUACUGGGCGUAAAGGGCGCGUAGGCGGCCUGCUAAGUCGAACGUGAAAUCCCCGAGCUCAACUCGGGAACUGCGUCCGAUACUGGCAGGCUUGAAUCCGGGAGAGGGAUGCGGAAUUCCAGGUGUAGCGGUGAAAUGCGUAGAUAUUGGGAGGAACACCAGUGGCGAAGGCGGCUCACUGGACCGGUACUGACGCUGAUGCGCGAAAGCGUGGGGAGCAAACGGG
rnacentral:rRNA from 1 species